UGGGGAAUUUUGGACAAUGGGCGAAAGCCUGAUCCAGCAAUGCCGCGUGUGUGAAGAAGGCCUUCGGGUUGUAAAGCACUUUUGUCCGGAAAGAAAUCCUUGGCUCUAAUACAGUCGGGGGAUGACGGUACCGGAAGAAUAAGCACCGGCUAACUACGUGCCAGCAGCCGCGGUAAUACGUAGGGUGCAAGCGUUAAUCGGAAUUACUGGGCGUAAAGCGUGCGCAGGCGGUUUGCUAAGACCGAUGUGAAAUCCCCGGGCUCAACCUGGGAACUGCAUUGGUGACUGGCAGGCUAGAGUAUGGCAGAGGGGGGUAGAAUUCCACGUGUAGCAGUGAAAUGCGUAGAGAUGUGGAGGAAUAUCGAUGGCGAAGGCAGCCCCCAUGGGCCAAUACUGACGCUCAUGCACGAAAGCGUGGGGAGCAAACAGGAUUAGAUACCCUGGUAGUCCACGCCCUAAACGAUGUCAACUAGUUGUUGGGGAUUCAUUUCCUUAGUAACGUAGCUAACGCGUGAAGUUGACCGCCUGGGGAGUACGGUCGCAAGAUUAAAACUCAAAGGAAUUGACGGGGUCAUAGCUGUUCCU
rnacentral:rRNA from 1 species